rnacentral:rRNA from 1 species
AGAGUUUGAUCAUGGCUCAGAUUGAACGCUGGCGGCAUGCCUUACACAUGCAAGUCGAACGGCAGCACGGGGGCAACCCUGGUGGCGAGUGGCGAACGGGUGAGUAAUACAUCGGAACGUGUCCUGGAGUGGGGGGAUAGCCCGGCGAAAGCCGGAUUAAUACCGCAUACGCUCUACGGAGGAAAGGGGGGGAUCGCAAGACCUCUCGCUCAAGGGGCGGCCGAUGGCAGAUUAGCUAGUUGGUGGGGUAAAGGCCUACCAAGGCGACGAUCUGUAGCUGGUCUGAGAGGACGACCAGCCACACUGGGACUGAGACACGGCCCAGACUCCUACGGGAGGCAGCAGUGGGGAAUUUUGGACAAUGGGCGCAAGCCUGAUCCAGCAAUGCCGCGUGUGUGAAGAAGGCCUUCGGGUUGUAAAGCACUUUUGUCCGGAAAGAAAACUUCCUGGUUAAUACCUGGGGAGGAUGACGGUACCGGAAGAAUAAGCACCGGCUAACUACGUGCCAGCAGCCGCGGUAAUACGUAGGGUGCGAGCGUUAAUCGGAAUUACUGGGCGUAAAGCGUGCGCAGGCGGUCUGUUAAGACAGAUGUGAAAUCCCCGGGCUUAACCUGGGAACUGCAUUUGUGACUGGCAGGCUAGAGUAUGGCAGAGGGGGGUAGAAUUCCACGUGUAGCAGUGAAAUGCGUAGAGAUGUGGAGGAAUACCGAUGGCGAAGGCAGCCCCCUGGGCCAAUACUGACGCUCAUGCACGAAAGCGUGGGGAGCAAACAGGAUUAGAUACCCUAGUAGUCC